GGCUUGGACCUGAACCAACCACCCAACAGUACUUCCUGCAUCUAUAUAUAAGCUUUUAUGGCUUGCAGGAUGCUCCAAGUUCCAGGAUUUGGUAAACCAGCACUACACUGAGGAUGUGAGCUUUCAGUUUCCUGCUUCUGCCACCAUGCCUGCAGCCUGAUGCAACAGCCAAAAUAAGCCUUCUUCUAUGCUGAUAUAUGACCACGGCGUCUCUGAAGACCUGUGUGCCCUGCCAGCUUUUCCUAGAUUUUCCCACAUUGGAAUUCUUUUAUACCCAAGACAUUUU